rfam:Bacillus gobiensis strain FJAT-4402 chromosome.
AACCCUUUUUAAUGGCAAUCCUGUGAGUUUGCAAAGGGGGAACAAAGAAUUCACUAAAGAACUUGAGUGAAUUCUUAAUGUACCUCUUUGCCUUCAGGCAGAGAGUUUUUUUUU